GACGAACGCUGGCGGCGUGCUUAACACAUGCAAGUCGAACGGAAAGGCCCUGCUUUUGUGUGUUGCUCGAGUGGCGAACGGGUGAGUAACACGUGAGUAACCUGCCCUUGACUUUGGGAUAACUUCAGGAAACUGGGGCUAUUACCGGAUAGGAGCUCCUGCUGCAUGGUGGGGGUUGGAAAGUUUCGGCGGUUGGGGAUGGACUCGCGGCUUAUCAGCUUGUUGGUGGGGUAGUGGCUUACCAAGGCUUUGACGGGUAGCCGGCCUGAGAGGGUUACCGGCCACAUUGGGACUGAGAUACGGACCAGAAUCCUACGGGAGGCAGCAGUGGGGAAUAUUGCACAAUGGGCGGAAGCCUGAGGCAGCAACGCCGCGUGCGGGAUGACGGCCUUCGGGUUGUAAACCGCUUUCGACUGUGACGAAGCGUGAGUGACGGUAAUGGGUAAAGAAGCACCGGCUAACUACGUG
rnacentral:rRNA from 1 species